ACAGUGAUGGAAAGAUGAAAAGAACUUUGAAAAGAGAGUGAAAAAGUACGUGAAAUUGUUGAAAGGGAAGGGCAUUUGAUCAGACAUGGCGUUUGCUUCGGCUUUCGCUGGGCCAGCAUCAGUUUUAGCGGUUGGAUAAAUCCUCGGGAAUGUGGCUCUGCUUCGGUAGAGUGUUAUAGCCCGUGGGAAUACAGCCAGCUGGGACUGAGGAUUGCGAUUCAAGGAUGCUGGCGUAAUGGUUAAAUGCCGCCCGUCUUGAAACACGGACGSCACAACGGCGCAAUACCG
rnacentral:rRNA from 1 species